AUUGAACGCUGGCGGCAGGCCUAACACAUGCAAGUAGAACGAGUGGCGGACGGGUGAGUAAUGUCUGGGAAACUGCCUGAUGGAGGGGGAUAACUACUGGAAACGGUAGCUAAUACCGCAUACCAUCGGAUGAGCCCAGAUGGGAUUAGCUAGUAGGUGGGGUAACGGCUCACCUAGGCGACGAUCCCUAUCUGGUCUGAGAGGAUGACCAGCCACUCUGGAACUGAGACACGGUCCAGAUUCCUACGGGAGGCAGCAGUGGGGAAUAGUGCACAAUGGGCGCAAGCCGGCUGCAGCCAUGCCGCGUGUAUGAAGAAGGCCUUCGGGUUGUAAAGUACUUUCAGCGGGGAGGCGUUACCCGCAGAAGAAGCACCGGCUAACUCCGUGCCAGCAGCCGCGGUAAUUC
rnacentral:rRNA from 1 species